rnacentral:tRNA from 1 species
GGGUUUUUAAUUACUAAGAAUUUUGAAUUUUUAUUUUAAAAGUAAUAAGUCUUUAAAGAAAAAAGAAUGACUAG